GUUGUAUAGUCAAGUAAUUAAGUGCAUGUGGUGGAUGCCUUGGCAGUCAGAGGCGAAGAAAGACGUGAUAGCCUGCGAAAAGCUCCGGGGAGGCGGCAAAUAUCCUUUGAUCCGGAGAUGUCUGAAUGGGGGAACCCACCCGCUAUAAGGCGGGUAUCAAUAACUGAAUACAUAGGUUAUUGAAGCGAACGAGGGGAAGUGAAACAUCUCAGUACCCUUAGGAAAAGAAAUCAAUUGAGAUUCCCUU
rnacentral:rRNA from 1 species